GACAGAGGGUGCGAACGUUGCUCGGAAUUACUGGGCGUAAAGCGCGUGUAGGCGGGUGAUCAAGUCAGGUGUGAAAUCCCCAGGCUCAACCUGGGAACUGCACUUGAAACUGGUCGCCUUGAGUGUUGGAGAGGGAAGCGGAAUUCCUGGUGUAGAGGUGAAAUUCGUAGAUAUCAGGAGGAACACCGGUGGCGAAGGCGGCUUCCUGGACAAUUACUGGACGCUGAGACGCGAAAGCGUGGGGAGCAAACAGG
rnacentral:rRNA from 1 species